UAAGGUUCAUAUAAUAUAGUGGUAUUAAUUCGUUCUUCGCAAAUUCGUUAAGGCUUUAUAAUCUAAUUAUAUGCCCCUCUAGUUAUGGUUAAUUAGUUUUCGAUCGCUAUUUCGUUUUGGAAACAUUUAUCUUUGUUGCAACAGCACUUAUAUUCCUUUAGACUUCAAAGCCAAAUAUUUAGGCACAACAUUUGACUUUGCUGCCAAAGUAAAUAUCUCAAGUAGUGAGCUGUGCUCCAAAUUCGCUGGGGUUUUAAUUGUGUGUCAAAGUUUUAAUAUUAUAAGAUCAUCGGAUUUUAUUCGGAUUUUAAAAUCAUUUUAGAAAUGCAUGGAUAUAUAAAAUGAGUAUGCAACUGCAACUCUAUAGAUAUUCAUAAACGAUAGGAACAGCGAUAACAUGAUUCAGGUUACAUAUAACAAUGGCACCGCAUCCGAAGUAGCCGGCAUUGUCUCGGCCACCAUAUUGAGAAACACGGUCAGCGAGAGCAGGAUGGUAACACCUAGAUAUCAGAUGGAAAGUUCCCAUUAAGUAACGAGGUUUGUGCAUGGAAAAUCAAGGCAGUGGCGCCAUACUUGUCGUUAAGUAUGGCAUUACAUUCAGAAUCCAUUGUGGUUUUGGUUUAAAUAGUUUACAAGUAAGUAUAAAGUGUUAAAUCUAAUGAAAAAUCAAGUCCUUCGCCCUUUUAGUUCAGUGUUCCUAGCAAAGCCAUUUCUCACCGCUGCCCGAAAUUUCUUACACUUCACUAAUUGUUUUUCGAAGCAUUUGGAAUGUCAUGACCCAUCAUUAACACUUCCUGAGGCAGUGCAACCCCCCACAGCUUUUGGUACCAUGCACUUUCCAACUCGCCCCGACUAGCCAUUCAGUUUUGUGUACUCAAGGAGCUAGGUCGAGUCCCAGAGUCCCAACUGAUUUUCCGAGCCACUAAUGCCACGUCCUGUCGACAGACAGCACACUUUGAGGAGCAUUCCCCGACUCGUUGAACACUUUACACUACUCUCAGCCCCGAUGGCAGCGUUAAAAGUUCAAUAGUUUGCUUACCAUCGUUGAGACUGUGGCGUCAUCCGCAGGCCCAAACUGGCGGAUGGGUGGCGAUGGCCAUAAUGGAUAA